AUGCUGUUUUAAGUUCAUUACAGUCAUCAUAAAUGCAGUAUUUUGUAAGAAGUAAGACCCAGCGGGAUUGUGACUGUGUGUAACCUAUACCGGCGGGAGUGUGAGCCGUAUUGGGAGGCGUUCGAGUGAGUAUUGUUGCUAAAUUAGCUGAUACUGUUAGCACGUGAAACUGAGUUAGCUGACUAGCGUACACCUUCACAGGAGCGGAGGAGACCUGCGUCAGGCUGCAUGUGGGAAGCCUGGGUUUAUUUACAAGUUUCUGAUGUGCCCGGACAUUGCCACUCAUGCUGAUGCAGUAGAGGUGCUCAGGACUUGCCGCUGCCAGGGACUUACUGCAGGUGGACAGAGCUUUUCUUUUUCCUUCAGCUCGCUGUGGUAUCGAGGGUUUGAAUGGACUGUUACUACCAGCUUUGUGAGUUUCCAAGGGACCUAGCCUUAGACCAAGACGUUUGGUCCAAGGCUACAAGGGACCGUGAAUACGAGCAUUUCUCCACCUGAGGGUUACAUAUGAGCUCCAACAGCGCGCCAACAAACAUGGUACCAUAGACUGAGUUAGAAAAUCCCGGGUAUUAUCUUUUGUUGCUUUUUUAUUUGUUUUGGGGGUUUGAAAUAAAUUUUGUGAUAUUUUUGCAAUCAA